CGUCGGCUACCUCGCGACGGUCAGCCGUGAACUCCGUCAGGCCCGGAAGGGAGCAGCGGCAGCGGUGCAGCCGGGUGCCGGGGAGCGGCUGGCGCGG
rfam:Woeseia oceani strain XK5, complete genome.